ACAAAACGCAUAUUUUCAGGUGCCUCUGAUCCGCCGUCCGGUGGUUAGAGGAGAAUCGGGAAGGCAGUGAAAACCUGCCACGUGCCCAACGCUGUAAGGGGGAUUGGCCGCGCACAACCCACUGAGGGAAACCUUGGGAAGGGGUGCGGCCGGGAUGAGCCCAAGUCAGAAGACCGGCCUGAAAAGUUGGCUGCGC
rnacentral:ncRNA from 2 species